GGCACCCAUCCACAAAGUGGGAAAGUUCAUCUGAGGAAUGGGAGCAAGUGAAAAAAAGGCCCUGAAGUAGGAAUCAGCUGGUGUGUUCAAGAAACACAUAGAGGGCUUGCAUGGCCAGAACCUAGCAAGCAAAUGGAGCAAGAUGACAUUGGAGAGGUAGACAGACCAUGAAUGGUCUUCUAGGUCAAGCUAAGGAUCUGAAACUUGCUCAGAGUUUUUGGGAGAGUUUUAAGCAGGGAAAUGGCAUGAUCUGAUUUAUCUUUGAAAAACAUCCCUCCAGCUGCUGUGCUAAGAAUAGAGCAUAUUAGUGCCACCCAGGGGCUGGGCAGAGAAGGAAAUGGGGAGUGACUGUUAAUGAGGCAUGGGAUUUUUUUUUUGGGGGGGGGUGAUAUUAAUGUUCUAGUAUUAGAUAGUUGUGAUUGGUUGCACUACACUGGUACUAUACUAAAAUCCACUGAAUUGUAUACCUUAAAAUUGUUAAAAUGGUAAGUUUUAUGUUAUGGGAAUUUUAUCUCAAUCUUGAAAAUAAUAGAUUAUAGGAAUGGGGACAAGCAUGGAAGCAGGUGGCUUGGCUAUGAGGCUAUUGCUGUAGUACAGGAGAGGGAUAACGGUGUCCUGGACUAGAAUGACAUCAGUGGAGCUGAGGACAAAUGUCUGGAUUCUAACAUGUUUUGGAAGAUUGCCGUGAGGAUUACUUAAAAUUUUUUUCUUUAUUUUAGAGACAGAGAGAGCACGCAUAUGCAUGAGGGAGAGUGGAAGAGGGAGUAAGAGAGAGAAUCCCAAGCAGGCUCCACAUUCCGUGCGGAGCCCCAUGUGGAGCUCGAUUCCAUGACCCUGGGAUUACGACCUGAACUGAAACCAAGAGCCAGAUGCUCAACUGACUGAGCCACCAAGGCUCCCUACUGUCCAAGAUGUGGGAGCCAUGAGGAGAGGGGCAGAGUAAUCCUGGACAAGGCCAUCCUACUAGCCAGCCCCCAGCCAUCCUGCCAGCUGACCACAGAUGCAUGAACAAGCCCAGAGCUGCCUGGAGUCAUUUCCUGCAGGAAUUUCACGUCUUCCCAUUGAAGUGUUCCAGCAGCUGGUAACCAAAUCAUCAACUCAGGCCAUGGGUGAUUCUCCAGGCUCCAAUUACAAAUCAGAAGGAAUAAAGCAGUCUGCAUAUUUCCCACGUUGGGUGAGGACACACUGACUUCUGGAGAGCUUGAAUCAAUAAGCUGAAAGAAAAGUUCAAACUCCAAUUUCAGAAGAACUUUGCUUCUGCGUGUUAAACUAUGGAUUCAUAGAUUCUUCUGCCUUGUGGGUCUUCUGCUCUCUGCUGUCCUUGACAGCUCGCACCAAGCUGAUCACUGGGGACAUCAAUGGACUUCUGAAUGAAGACAUUGUCUGACAAGUAUAAUAGACGAGCAUGAAACGCAUACUGUUCUGCUCUUUUGAAUAUAUUACAUUUAUUGAGAACUACAAUUAAGUUAUGUAUUUUUAUCAGUAAAGCACUUUAUUGAUUGUGGACGUGAAGCUGAGUUCUUUCAUGUUUUGGUCAGCUCUAAGGACACAUGCACCUAGUGGUUCAAAACAAAUUGACCGGCAUGAUUACUGAGCCUGUGAUGAAUUGUAAGUGUAUAGACAUAUCGAACAUUGGAGUGUGUUAUUCUGUACAACAUUUGUUCUAAUUUUGUGUUCAUUUUAACGAUAAAUGAAACAAAUUAAUAGAAGUAUUGUGUUCAGGAUCUGGAGUCAGACUUUAUGGGCUUAAAUUCUACAUACAUGGCAUGGAUUUGAAAAUGCUAUUGAAGUUCUCUGAGCCCCAGUUUGCUCAUCUAUAAAAUCGUGAUCACAAUAGCAUCUUUCUCAAGCAGUAAAUAAAGGCAUUCAGUGGGAUAGUCUAGAUAGAGAAAGGUGCUUGACAUGUAGUAAGUCGUCUGUGAAUAUCAGCUAUUAAUAUUAUUAUCAUCAAUGUCAUUUGGACGAUCACCGUACAAUGAAGUAUCACCACAUGAUUUUGCAGUAUCUGCAUUUAAGGCCACGUUGAUGCCAAGAAGCACGUGCAUUGCCACAAGUAAAUAAGAAAGGAAGAGAGGUUGGAAUUAAUACAAAACGGACGCAUUCGUGCCAAGGAAAGCGCAAAUGACAUGAUGUUUUAUUGUACAAAUGGUGGUUUCAAAGUGGUUCGGGGUGGGAAAAUGGAGUGGUGACAGAGCAAACCUCGGAACAGGCACGCUGAGUUGUAAAGAGCCUGCGUUACAGCAGUCAACAUCGAAUUUACAUCCUGAACAGCAGUUUAGUUUCAGCUAAACAGCAUCAUCUGUCAUAUUAAUGUUCAUUUGAAUGUACUGGGUUUAUUUGCAUUUAGCUGUAAACUGUUUUAGUUUUAGGGUUGUAUUAGAGAUAAAAGCACAUGGAGUUCAUACUUUAUUUUAUACUUGAGUACAUUUAAUACUUAAAAGUUUUAAGCCAACACUAAAGGUGUGCAAAUUUAUUUUUCUUUAUGGGAUCUCUAUGGGAUUUGAUCCUGAGAAACACUGAUGUUUGUUAGAGUGUAGUGUAAAUAAUGUUGGGGUAAUGCCUGAUUGUAUGAUUCUAAUAUAUUGGCAUGUGCCCACUGUGUACAGGGCACUUGCUGGGCACAAACAGUGAUAGAAUGUAAACUAUGUCUAGUUAGGGAAGCUAGGAGGAGUGUAUGGGAUGUGUGUGUGUGAGAGAGAGAGAGAGAGAGAGAGAGAGAUCACCACCAGUAUAGUGUGGCACUGAGUAUGGAGUGAGCAGUACAGAAACUAUCAUAAGAAUUCCAGAGAGGGCCUGAUUGCAGGUGGCUGAGAUUCGGUUUUGUCGGGACAAGAGAUUCGAGGUAAGCCUUAAGUAAAGAUGGUAGAGGGCAUUCCAGUUUUGGGAAAUGGGUGUCUAGAAGUAAGGAAUAGUGUAAGCAAAGGAGGCAGCUAUUUGCAUUAUAUUCAGUCGUCUGUUGCUUAAUUUAGAGCAAAAUAUUAAAAUAAAAAAAACUUCCCAAAAAGAGCAACAUAUUAUGUAUUGGUCAGAAGUUCACCUUUUGCUUCCACAGUGGCUAUGACAUAGCUUCUAUGUGCUCUUCCUCCUUUGGAAACUUCCAAGUAGCCUAGAAUCAUGGUACCUCCCUCAUUUUGAUUAGUGAACAUUGCCCCAAACUGGCAGUUCAGUGAUUUAAUUGGCCUUUUAAGUGGGUUCUCAAAUGCCAGUGUUUUAUAAAUUGGACGGUCACAGAUUCUGUCUCAGAUUAAUGUAAAAGUGGGUAAAAUUUUGUCCAUGUUUAAUGUUUCUCUUUACAUGUUUUUCUGAAACCUACGGUGCCUACUAUUGCUUAUCUACUAGCAAAUUCCAGAGGAUAACAAGUUAAUGAUUAGUUAUCAAACAAAUAUUAGUGUAAACUCAAAGAACCAUUUACACUGAACUGAUACUUGUGUCUGCAUGUCCAUGUUAAAAUUUUGUAAUAUGGACAUA